UGAAAGGGGCAAAGGAAACAGUGUGAGAGAGACUGGAGAUGAGAGAACAGCAGGAGUCGAUUGAGGUUGAAAGGCUGCUGGGGCAGGACUAGAAAAGGGGAGCGCUGAGAGACCGGUCAGAGGACCUGACCGCUGACCGCUGACCCGAGGCUGCGUGCCCAGGAAAGAGGAGGAUGAAGAAACUGGGGCUCUGAAUGGCAUAUUAACGCGUGCAGCUCUAGACAGCGAGGAAGUGAUGGCAACUCUAUCCGAACUCAAAUCUGCCAGACCUAUACCAUAGAGACGGAGUUUCAACCAUGUUAGCCAAGAUGUUCUCGAUCUCCUGACCUCGUGACCCUCCCACCUCGGCCUCUCAAAGUGCUGGGAUUACAGAAUACAUAAGAAAAAUGAAAACAUUCAUAUGGUAAAUAGAACUAACUGUUCUCUGCCAUGGUGCUGAAGUGACUGGCCCUGAGAGCUGAGGAGAUCAAGAUCUACCUACCUGUAACCAAGGUGUUACACCCCAGAGGAAAAGCUGUGUCCUGAACAAUGCUGCCAGCAGAUACCCUAAACUUGUGCCAACCUCUAGACUCUACUCUUUGGAAGCAAGUCCCUAGCACAGCCCACACUCACGGGUGUUAAGCUCCAUCUCAUUGAGAGAUAUUUGGAAAUGAAGGAAAGAAAACUGCUCUUGGAAACCCUGAAAUGAACACACAGUGCAUCAGAGCCAAGCUUGCAAUCACUCAAGAAAGAAUGAUUCUCGAGGCAUCGAGCCCCCCCGGAAGUUAAUUGAAAGGCUGUCUACAGAAAAGAUGGUCAGUCCUAAGGGAGAGGACAGAGGAUCUCAGCCUUUGACGUACGUGAGAGUUUAUCAAAAAGCAAGAUGCUCAACUCCACUCCUGGAAACUGGUCCAAUGGGUCAGGGGGUGACCUAGGAGUCUGCAUUUGGACAAUCACCUCAAGGGAUUCUGGGAGGGGAUCUGCAGGUCAACAUUUCAGAAACAUUGCCUUUGGGUCACAGUAAAGACCAUGAAAAUAACUUGAGGGGACACCUGGAAGAGCGCGGACCACAUUUCUGGAGUAGAGAGGUGCAAUGUCUUGCCCAUAUUCACCCGAAUCUAGCAGUAGAGCUGAUCCCAGCCCAGGUGUGACAAUUUGCAGAUAUGCGGAUGACGGACAGCUCCCAGGUCCAGGCCAGGCACUGCAGAACGUUCUAUUCCUGCUGCUCACCUUCCCCCGCCCGCCCGCAAGCUCCACCUGGAGGACCUGGGUGGGGUGGAGCACAGGUUUGCUGAGAAAUCUGGCUGAGAGAUCUGACCGUUAAAUGGGUUUCAUCCUGAAAUGACUUUGAGUGAAAACUGAAAGUAAAACUUAAAACCACCCACUUCCCGCUGCUUCCUUCCCUCGAGCGCUGAGUGCAGCUAAGCCACUCCUGUCUUUAGGGCUUGCUCCUGCCUCGCCCUUCCCAGACCAAGCCCUGAACCCCACUGACGGUCGUGCCUGAGCCCCACCCUUGGCACCACCUCAAGGACUCUGUUCCUCCCCUCCCACUGCCCAGGCGGAAGUCUAAACCGUGCGUACUGCAGAGGAGGCACACCCUUCGAGAACAGCGAACACCCCAGCCUUCUUAUCAACCCUGACUCCUAUUCAUAUCCUCACUCUAUUUAUUAAAUAAGAACCAGUUCUUUCAUUUAAAAAAUGGAUCAAAGACGGCUGGGCGCGGCGGCUCACAUCUGUAAUCUCAGCACUUUGGGAGGCCGAGGCGGGAGGAUCACCUGAGGUCAGGAGUUCCAGACCAGCCUGGCCAACGUGGUGAAACCCCAUCUCUACUAAAAAUACAAAAAAUUAGCCAGGCGUGGUGGCAGGCACCUGUAAUCCCAGCUAUUCGGGAGGCUGAGGCAGGAGAAUUGCUUGAACUGGCAGGUGGAGGUUGCAGUGAACCAAGAUAGCGCCAUUGCACUCCAGCCCGGGUGACAGAGCAAGACUCCAUCUCAAAUAAUAAUAAUAAAAUAAAAUAAAUAAAAAGUUAUCAAAGACAUGUGUAAUGACCACAGCCUCCGAGCUGCAUAUUAAGCAUAAUGCAAUACUGAGUGGGCACCAUUUAAGUCAAAAACACAAAAUCAUAACAUUUAAAAUACACAUUUUACUGUGAAAGCAAGGUACAUGCUCACAGCAAAAACUCAAACAGCACAGAAAUGGAAGACAUAGUUUCAAGAAUCUCAUCCUCCAAAAGCCGCCUCUUUUAAUAGUUCAGCAUUUUUAAAAAUCCUAUAUUGUAGUGAGUCUGUGCAGCAGAAUUCCUAUUGAAUGCACACUGUAACCUGAAGCUCUGAGAGGUUAAGUUAACUUGCCCAACAUCACUAGGCUAGGACGUGGUAGUGCCACUUGGUGGUAUCGUGAGACAGACAGAAAAACAAAAAACAAAAAAACGACCUGCUACUAGGGAAAGAGACAGGUGGGAUCCAACACACUGAGAAGUGGGGGCAUUGCCCAGUCUGUUCACACUUGCCUAGGAGACAGGAAUGACCUCGGCAGAUGCACACAUUAGCCAGGAGCCCAGCCUAAUGCGUGGAAUUAAAUAUUGAAAGCUGAAAUGCAGUUUAGGGAUCAUGGAGUGGCACCUCUUAAUUUUAUAGAAAGGAAAACUGAGACCCAGAAAACCAGUGCCAAAUAGGCCAGUGAUCUUCAAACACUUCCCAAGAAAUAUGCCAGCCCGGGCAGCUUCAAGGCAUCCCUUUCCUGACUUCAGCUUCCACAGUGCUCAUUUCUGUCUAGAUCUGCCUACCGUCCCGCCUCACAAUUGUUCUCCUCUCACUUUACAGAAAAAAAUGCACCUCUCACCCAUCCUGCAUCUUACUACGUCCCGGGUAUAUACGGUCUGGGGCCUCAAACAAGGGAACAAACAAAACCUUGGCGUCAGUAAAGAGCAGCCUUCUUUACUUAAGGCUCUUCUUGCCUUACACAUAUUUAUUCUAAGGUCGAAGCUCCAUGGUGGAAAUGGGAGUGUUUUGUCUGCCAUGGAAUACGCUGAAUUCAGAUACAGUGUAGAGCAGGGGCAAGAAUGCUGAUAAUUUCUAUUUAACCACCUUACUUCUUCUUUCCUCCUGCAAAAGUCAAAAGAGACCUUGCCUCAAGGAGAGACCUGUGAGAGCACAGCAAGCGGCUAUCAGUGUGAACUAUCAGGUUGUCACCUGAUUUCAUCCAGGAGAUAAGCACAUGGCAAGUCCAUGCCUUUCCUAUCAAUCUAUCUGAAAAUCAGAAUUCAGAAAAGAGACGGUUAUCCCUAAGGCAUAUGUGAAUUCUUCUUGGCCUGGCUCAUGCGCCAUCAUUUCUCCAUGAUUUCAGCUCCUAGCCCACUGUCACUCUCUCCAGUCCUAUCUUUUGUCUUGGAGAUUUUAAAAUACAGUAAGCACGCUUCUUGGGACACCUCUUUUCCCCGGUCACACUGUAUCCACCUCCCCCAUGGUCACACACUAGACCUUGUUAUUAUCAAUAAUUUCAAUCCCACUGUAACCUCAAUUUCCGGCUCUUUUUUUUUUUUUUUUUAAGACGGAGUUUGGCUCUCUCGCCAGGCUGGAGUGCAGUGGUGCGAUCUCGGCUCACUGCAACCCCUGCCUCCUGGGUUCAAGCUAUUCUCCUGCCUCAGCCUCCUGAGCAGCUGGGAUUAUAGGUGCCCGCCACCACGCCCAGCUAAUUUUUUUGUAUUUUUAGCAGAGACAGGGUUUCACCAUGUUGGUCAGGCUUAUCUCGAACUCCUGACCUCGUGAUCCACUAGCCUCCCAAAGUACUGGGAUUACAGGUGUGCGCCACCUCACCUGGCCAGGCAUGCCACUCUUUAAUCCCACCUCCUGCCUUUCCAGCUGACCCCUCUAGAACCUCAAUUCCACUCAGCCUUGGACCCCACCAGAUCCUGCCAUCCAUUGAUGUUAUCUCUUCUUCACUGGCCUCACUCCCUCUCCCCUUCUUACUACCCGCCUUCAAUUUCAUGGCCAGUCAUUGUGAUCACCCCCUUGCACACCUCCUCAAUUCCUUACCUUUUCUUGCUUUACCACAGCAAGAUAUGAGCUGAGGAGCAUAAGGCAGCUGGCAGAGGUAUCAAGACCACCAUAAUGUGUGAGCAUUCCCGGGUGCUCCUUGGAAACGCUGGGGGUCCCUAGAGCUACAGGGGAUAGGGAAUGCCAGUUGAUGUUACUAGGACACGAAAACAAAGCAUGCUCCCUGAAGGCUGAAGAAAUGGGGGAGUCUUGGGUUACAUGAGGAUUUAUGAGGACCCUAAACUAUCCCUGGAGGAGACCCAGCAACUGUGCUUAGUGGUUCCCCUGAAGUUAGUACUUUGCAGUUCAGCCUGCCUAGAAACCCACCACCAUCGCUCAUCCUUUCUCGGGGCACAGCUCCAAGCGAUAGUGACUCACUUCUCAGUGUACAUCUUGUACUCACACUUUCCAAGAGAAAGUGUCCGAUGGAGUCACCGUGUCACUAUCUCAUGGGGAAGACCCCUAUGGAACAGAGUGUUUUGCCAAGCCACCUCGAAGGAGUCAGACUACUUUCUGGCUUGGGUGCCAAUCCCUUGGCCAGCUUUCUGCAACCUGAGUGGCAGAACUCAUAGCACAGGACAUGACCACUGGCUGUGGAAGGCGCUGCCUGUGACAGGUGAGUUGUGGUCCUCAGAGCAUCCUAGAUCACACUGGCUCACGCUCAAUUCUGAGAACCAGCUCUUAGUUUCAUCUUUCAUUAAUCCAGGAACUCUGUACAUUCACCUUCAAGGGGAAUUUCGCUGGCAGUCCCCAGGCUCAGAGGCUGACUCGUGAUGUCUCGAUCAGACACAAAAAAAGAUGAGGAACUAAAAUCAGAAGUUCUAUCACUGGCCCAAACACGAGUAGUUAGUAAAUGGCUGACCCAGGACUUUUUAAGGGGUCUCACUCUGUCAUGAUCAUAGCUCACUGCAGCCUCAAGCUCCUGGACUCAAGCAAUCCUCCCACCUCAGCCUCCCAAGUUGCUGGGACUAAGGCACACACCACCUUGCCCAGAUCUGCAUAUACAUACUAAUAUGUAUAAAUAUUUUUUGUAUACCCUUUUACCCCAAAUGGUAACAUAUUAUUG